rnacentral:rRNA from 1 species
AGGAUGAACGCUGGCGGCGUGCUUAACACAUGCAAGUCGAACGAUGAAGGCUGGAGCUUGCUCUGGCUGGAUUAGUGGCGAACGGGUGAGUAACACGUGAGUAACCUGCCCCAGACUCUGGGAUAAGCGCUGGAAACGGCGUCUAAUACCGGAUACGAGCUUCCACCGCAUGGUGAGGAGCUGGAAAGAAUUUCGGUCUGGGAUGGACUCGCGGCCUAUCAGCUUGUUGGUGAGGUAAUGGCUCACCGAGGGCGACGACGGGUAGCCGGCCUGGAGAGGGUGACCGGCCACACGUGGGACUGAGACACGGCCCAGACCUCCUACGGGAGCAGCAGUAGGGAAUAUGGACAAGUGGGCGCAAGCCUGAUCCAGCAAUGCCGCGUGAGUGAUGAAGGUACCUUAGGGUUAGUAAAGUCUUACUUUUAACCCGAGUAU